rnacentral:tRNA from 1 species
GGAUAUAGCUUAGUGGUUGAGUGCUUGCCUAGCAUGUGUGAGGUCCUGAGUUUAAUCCCCAGCACCA